rnacentral:rRNA from 1 species
GAUGAACGCUGGCGGCGUGCCUAAUACAUGCAAGUCGAGCGAACGGACGAGAAGCUUGCUUCUCUGAUGUUAGCGGCGGACGGGUGAGUAACACGUGGAUAACCUACCUAUAAGACUGGGAUAACUUCGGGAAACCGGAGCUAAUACCGGAUAAUAUUUUGAACCGCAUGGUUCAAAAGUGAAAGACGGUCUUGCUGUCACUUAUAGAUGGAUCCGCGCUGCAUUAGCUAGUUGGUAAGGUAACGGCUUACCAAGGCAACGAUGCAUAGCCGACCUGAGAGGGUGAUCGGCCACACGGGAACUGAGACACGGUCCAGACUCCUACGGGAGGCAGCAGUAGGGAAUCUUCCGCAAUGGGCGAAAGCCUGACGGAGCAACGCCGCGUGAGUGAUGAAGGUCUUCGGAGCGUAAAACUCUGUUAUUAGGGAAGAACAUAUGUGUAAGUAACUGUGCACAUCUUGACGGUACCUAAUCAGAAAGCCACGGCUAACUACGUG